UACGAAGGGAGCUAGCGUUGUUCGGAAUCACUGGGCGUAAAGCGCACGUAGGCGGACGUGUCAGUCAGGGGUGAAAUCCCGGAGCUCAACUUCGGAACUGCCUUUGAUACAGCACGUCUUGAGUCCGGAAGAGGUGGGUGGAAUUCCUAGUGUAGAGGUGAAAUUCGUAGAUAUUAGGAAGUACACCGGUGGCGAAGGCGGCCCACUGGUCCGGUACUGACGCUGAGGUGCGAAAGCGUGGGGAGCAAACAGG
rnacentral:rRNA from 1 species